CAGCUGCAUCAUGUAUUGUCCCAACAGUUUUGUCGUCUAAAUGUGUUUUUAAGUCUAAAUGAACACAUUGUUUGAACUCUUCUAAUAACAUCAAUUGUCUUAGGUUAUCAAAAUUGUUAUCUGUUUUCUUUGACGUAAGCCAUUUAUCAAAUAGAUCUUCUUUUUCCCGAGCAAAUUCCACAUAGGUUUGUGAAUCAAACUUUUUAUAAGAUCUAAAUUUCUG
rnacentral:lncRNA from 1 species